rnacentral:rRNA from 1 species
UACGGGGGGAGCAAGCGUUGUUCGGAUUUACUGGGCGUUAAAGGGCGCGGUAGGCGGUCGUGACAAGUCACUUGUGAAAUCUCCGGGCUUAACUCGGAACGGUCAAGUGAUACUGUCGGACUAGAGUACAGAAGGGGCAACUGGAAUUCUCGGUGUAGCGGGUGAAAUGCGUAGAUAUCAGGAGGAACACCGGUGGCGAAGGCGGGUCUCUGGGCCGAUACUGACGCUGAGGAGCGAAAGCGUGGGGAGCGAACAGG